CCCUUAGAUGUUCUGGGCCGCACGCGUGCUACACUGAUGCAUUCAACGAGUUACCUUGGCCGAGAGGCCUGGGCAAUCUUUUGAACGUGCAUCGUGAUAGGGAUAGAUUAUUGCAAUUAUUAAUCUUGAACGAGGAAUUCCUAGUAAACGCAGUUCAUCAAACUGCAUUGAUUACGUCCCUGCCCUUUGUACACACCGCCCGUCGCACCUACCGAUUGGAUGGUCCGGUGAAGCCUCGGGAUUGUGGCCAGUGCCUUUUUGGUUUUGGUUGCGAGAACUUGUCUAAACCUUAUCAUCUAGAGGAAGGUGAAGUCGUAACA
rnacentral:rRNA from 1 species